GUGAGGAAUAUUGGACAAUGGGCGCAAGCCUGAUCCAGUCAUGCCGCGUGCAGGAAGACGCAUCUAUGGUGUGUAAACUGCUUUUGUACGGGAAGAAACACUCCCUCGUGAGGGAGCUUGACGGUACCGUAAGAAUAAGGAUCGGCUAACUCCGUGCCAGCAGCCGCGGUAAUACGGAGGAUCCAAGCGUUAUCCGGAAUCAUUGGGUUUAAAGGGUCCGUAGGCGGUUUAAUAAGUCAGUGGUGAAAGCCCAUCGCUCAACGAUGGAACGGCCAUUGAUACUGUUAGACUUGAAUUACAAGGAAGUAACUAGAAUAUGUAGUGUAGCGGUGAAAUGCUUAGAUAUUACAUGGAAUACCAAUUGCGAAGGCAGGUUACUACUUGUGGAUUGACGCUGAUGGACGAAAGCGUGGGGAGCGAACAGGAUUAGAAACCCGGGUAGUCC
rnacentral:rRNA from 1 species